GAUGAACGCUGGCGGCGUGCCUAAUACAUGCAAGUCGAGCGAACAGACGAGGAGCUUGCUCCUCUGACGUUAGCGGCGGACGGGUGAGUAACACGUGGAUAACCUACCUAUAAGACUUGGAUAACUUCGGGAAACCGGAGCUAAUACCGGAUAAUAUAUUGAACCGCAUGGUUCAAUAGUGAAAGACGGUUUUGCUGUCACUUAUAGAUGGAUCCGCGCCGCAUUAUCUAGUUGGUAAGGUAACGGCUUACCAAGGCAACGAUGCGUAGCCGACCUGAGAGGGUGAUCGGCCACACUGGAACUGAGACACGGUCCAGACUCCUACGGGAGGCAGCAGUAGGGAAUAUUCCGCAAUGGGCGAAAGCCUGACGGAGCAACGCCGCGUGAGUGAUGAAGGUCUUCGGAUCGUAAAACUCUGUUAUUAGGGAAGAACAAAUGUGUAAGUAACUAUGCACGUCUUGACGGUACCUAAUCAGAAAGCCACGGCUAACUACGUG
rnacentral:rRNA from 1 species